AGAGCGAACGCUGGCGGCAGGCUUAACACAUGCAAGUCGAGCGGGCGUAGCAAUACGUCAGCGGCAGACGGGUGAGUAACGCGUGGGAACGUACCUUUUGGUUCGGAACAACUGAGGGAAACUUCAGCUAAUACCGAAUAAGCCCUUACGGGGAAAGAUUUAUCGCCGAAAGAUCGGCCCGCGUCUGAUUAGCUUGUUGGUGAGGUAAUGGCUCACCAAGGCGACGAUCAGUAGCUGGUCUGAGAGGAUGAUCAGCCACAUUGGGACUGAGACACGGCCCAAACUCCUACGGGAGGCAGCAGUGGGGAAUAUUGGACAAUGGGCGCAAGCCUGAUCCAGCCAUGCCGCGUGAGUGAUGAAGGCCCUAGGGUUGUAAAGCUCUUUUGUGCGGGAAGAUAAUGACGGUACCGCAAGAAUAAGCCCCGGCUAACUUCGCGCCAGCAGCCGC
rnacentral:rRNA from 1 species